UGGGAUUCAGCUAGACCUCAACUAGUGUUUUGGGGGGCCCUUUGAAGAAGGAUAUAGGCAAGUGGGAGCCAGUUCAGAGAAGGACAAGGAGGAGGAGGAUAUGAACCACGGAGAAGGUAUUGUAGGAGGAAGGUUGGGAGAAGAUAUCAUAAGAGAUAGAGAAGAAAGCCUAGGAGGAAAAGGUGGAGAUCAAAUCAUGGAUGAAGAAGGAAUCAUUGGGGGAAAGUUGGAGAAAUAUAGGAGAUGAAGACAUUAUAGGAGAUGAAGUAAGCAUAGGAGGAAAGGUUGGAGAUCAAAUAGGAGAUGGAGAAGUCUUCUGAGGAAAGCUUGGAGAUCAAAUAGGAGAUGGAGAAGUCUUCUGAGGAAAGGUUGGAGAUCAAAUAGGAGAUGGAGAAGUCUUCUGAGGAAAGGUUGGAGAUGAAAUAGGAGAUGAUGAAGUCUUCUGAGGAAAGGUUGGAGAUGAAAUAGGAGAUGAUGAAGUCUUCUGAGGAAAGGUUGGAGAUGAAAUAGGAGAUGAUGAAGUCUUCUGAGGAAAGGUUGGAGAUGAAAUAGGAGAUGGAGAAGUCUUCUGAGGAAAGGUUGGAGAUCAAAUAGGAGAUGGAGAAGUCUUCUGAGGAAAGGUUGGAGAUGAAAUAGGAGAUGGAGAAGUCUUCUGAGGAAAGGUUGAAGAUCAAAUAGCAGAUGGAGAAGUCAUCUGAGGAAAGGUUGGAGAUCAAAUAGUAGGUCCCUUCCAAUUCCCUCUCCAAUCAUAGGUGGAGAACAAAGCUUUGCAUGAAAAGUUGGAGAUGAAAUAAGAGGUAGGAGGAAAGGUUGGAGAUUACAUAGUAAGAGAUGGAGAAGGAACCAUAAGAGAAAAGGUUGGAGAAAUGUAGGAGAUGGAGAAGACAUUAUAGGAGAUAGAGAAGAAAUCGCUGGAGGAAAGUUUGGAGAUCAUAAUAGAUGGAGAAGUAAGUAUAGCAGGAAAGGUUGGACAUCAAGGAAUAGAAGAUGGAGAAGAACUCCUAGGAGGAAAGGUUGGAGAUCAUAAUAGAUGGAGAAGAAGUCAUAGGAAGAAAGGUUGGAGAUCAAAUAAUAGGAGAUGGAAAAGAAGUCAUAGGAGGAAAGGUUGGACAUCAAGGAACAGAAGAUAGAGAAUAAGUCCUAGGAGGAAAGGUUGGAGAUCAAAUAAUAGGAGAUGGAGAAGAAGUCAGAAGAGGAAAGGUUAGAGAUCAAAUAAUAGGAGAUGGAGAAGAAAGCAUAGGAGGAAAGGUUGGAAUCCAAAUCAUAGGAGGAAAGGAUAAACAAGCCAUAGGAAAUAGAGAAAUCAGGAAGAAAGAUUGGAGAAGAAGUCAUGGGAGAUGGAGAAGAAAGCAUAGGAGGAAAGGUUGGUCAUUAAAGUAUAGAAGAUGGAGAAGAAGUCCUAGGAGGAAAGGUUGGAGAUCAUAAUAGAUGGAGAAGUAAGUAUAAGAGGAAAGGUUAGAGAUCAAAUAAUAGGAGAUGGAGAAGAAAGCAUAGGAGGAAAGGUUGGAGAUCAUAAUAGAUGGAAAAGUAAACAUAGGAGGAAAGGUUGGAGAUCAUAAUAGAUGGAGAAGAAGUCAUAGGAGGAAAGGUUGGAGACCAAAUAAUAGAAGAUGGAGAAGAAAGCAUAGGAGGAAAGGUUGGACAUCAAAGUCUAGAAGAUGGAGAAGAAGUCCUAGGAGGAAAGGUUGGAGAUCAUAACAGAUGGAGAAGAAGUCAUAGGAGGAAAGGUUGGAGACCAAAUAAUAGGAGAUGGAGAAG